GCACCUGUAGCUCAGUGGAUAGAGCAGUGGUUUCCGGAACCAUGUGUCGGGGGUUCGAGUCCCUUCAGGUGUG
rnacentral:tRNA from 3 species